CUCAUUCCAGCUGACCAGGGCGUGAAUGGGUGCAGCUCACCCUGUCAUCCCAGCCGCUCGGGAGACCGAGGCAGGAGGAUCGCAAGUUCAAAGCCAGCCUCAGCACUUUAGCAAGGCCCUAAGCAAUUCAGGGAGACCCUGUCUCUAAAUAAAAUAUAUUAAAAAAAAAAAAAGCUGGGGGUGUGGCUCAGUGGUUAAGUGUCCCUGGAUUCAAUUUUAUGAAGAUCAAAGUCAAGCCAAUGAGAGUGUUUAAGAAUUCUUACUUAGAUGGCAAAACUUCUGUCCAAGUAUCAGUCAAGGUUCUCCAGAGAAACAAAAUCAACAGGAGAGAGAGAGAGAGAGAGAGAGAGAGAGAGAGAGAGAGAGAGAGAGAGAGAGAUUAUAAGACAUUGGUACCCAUGACUACAGAACCUGAGGAAUCCCAGUCUGCUGUCUGCAACUAGAGACUAGGAAGGGGGAAGGUCUGCCCACAGAGGGCAGGAGGUUGAUGACCAGCUCACAGUCACUCACGGGGAGGUGAAUCCAAACUCCCUCCACGUUUUUAUUCUCAGGCCCUUAUAAGGAGAGAAGGGCUGGGUGAUGUUCACGCACAUUUGGGAGGGUCCCUGUUUUGCUCCAUGCACCAGUUUCAAUGCCCAUCUUUUCCAGAAUUAUCCUUAUAGACACACCCAGGGGGAAAAAAAAUGUUUCAUCACAUACCUGGGCAUCCUGUAGCCCAGGCAAGUUGACAUACAAAAUUACCCAUCACACAUCUAAGGAAACAAGAAAGGCAGAAAGCGUCACAAUAAAAGCCCUGAUGGUGGAUCUUGCUUCCAGGGGAGUGAGGAGGCUUUGAUGGGGGAAGGACAGCGGGGAGUCUUGGAGGUUGGGAGGUGUAUUGGUCCUCAGCCGUGGGUGAUGGUUACAGGGGCUUUUGCUUGCUAAUAAUUUGCUUAGCUGUACACCUCAAUUCAUGCUCUUCUCUCUGUGUGGCAUAUUUCAAAAUAAACAUAUUUUAAUAAAAGUACAAAUGGAUACAACAAAUAUGAAUUCCAUAUCUAUUAGGCACUGAUAUGGUUUAGAUAGGUGUCCCCCAAAGGCAUUUCUAUUCAGGCUUCAUCCCCAGCUCGUGGCACUAUGGGAGGUGGAGAAUCUUUAAGAGGCUGCGCCUAGUGGGAGUAAGUUAGGGCACUGGGGAAUGCUCUGGAAGGGCAGCCCCUUCUCCCUCCUCUCUGCCAGGUCCCAGCUACGAGAUGACUGGUGCUGCCAUGUGCUGCUGCUCUGCUGUGCCGCCUGGCCACAGGCCCCAAAGCAGUGGGGUCAACCAACCACAAAUGGGAACCUCCCAAACUGUGAGCCAAAAUAAACUUU
rnacentral:lncRNA from 1 species